rnacentral:rRNA from 1 species
CGACCGGCGCGCGGGUGAGUAACGCGUAUCCAACCUGCCUUACACUCUUGGACAGCCUUCUGAAAGGGAGAUUAAUACAAGAUGUUAUCAUGAGUAAGCAUUUUCGCAUGAUUAAAGGUUUACCGGUGUAAGAUGGGGAUGCGUUCCAUUAGAUAGUAGGCGGGGUAACGGCCCACCUAGUCUUCGAUGGAUAGGGGUUCUGAGAGGAAGGUCCCCCACAUUGGAACUGAGACACGGUCCAA